ACAACCGUAGCGCAUUUGGCGAGAGCGCCGGAGUACCAACUUGGAGGUCGCGGGUUCGAAUCUCACCGGUCGUC
rnacentral:tRNA from 1 species